UACGAAGGGGGCGAGCGUUGUUCGGAUUCAUUGGGCGUAAAGGGUGCGUAGGUGGCGUGGUAAGUCGGGUGUGAAAUUUCGGAGCUUAACUCCGAAACUGCAUUCGAUACUGCUGUGCUUGAGGACUGGAGAGGAGACUGGAAUUUACGGUGUAGCAGUGAAAUGCGUAGAUAUCGUAAGGAAGACCAGUGGCGAAGGCGGGUCUCUGGACAGUUCCUGACGCUGAGGCACGAAGGUCAGGGGGAGCAAACGGGG
rnacentral:rRNA from 1 species